GUUUAAAUUCAAACAAGGAACUUUUAAGACUACAAAGCAUGUUUCUUCCACUAUCAUUUUGACUUUUGAAAAUAACUCCUAAUGCCUCCUGGGAAAAGGGUAUUGGCCUGUGAGCUACUCAAACAUGUCAUGACUUAAAGUUCAAGUACGAAAAACUGGACAUUUUACCUAACAUUUAUGAUCAAUAAAUUCAAUCAUUGACUUUUUCAGAUUAGCUUAUCUGUGAAGAUGACCAAGACCACCAGUUAGAUGGGGCUGGCUUGAGCAGGGUGACCUUGCGUGCGCUGCAGGAUUUUAAUCCAUGACGGCUUAGUGUGUUAAUAAUGAUUUUCUUUGAGACUGUGGUCCCAGCUCUCUUCAGGUCAUUGACCAGCUUCUGGGCUGAUCCAUCACCUUCCUCGUGAUCAUUGAUGCCCCUCAAGCCCAUCCCAGCCUUGUGCAGGUCUACGAUUUUAUCCCUGAUGUCCUUACACAGCUCUCUGGUCUUGGCCAUUGUGGAGCAGUUGGAGUCUGUUUGAUUGAGUGUGUGGACAGGUGUCUUUUAUACAGGUAACAAGUUCAAACAGGUGCAGUUAAUACAGGUAAUGAGUGGAGAACAGGAGGGCUUCUUAAAGAAAAACGAACAGGUCUGUGAGAGACGGAAUUCUUACUGGCUGGUAGGUGAUCAAAUACUUAUGUCAUGCAAUAAAAUGAAAAUUAAUUAUUUAAAAAUCAUACAAUGUGAAUUUCUGGAUUUUUGUUUUAGAUUCCGUCUCUCACAGUUGAAGUGUACCUAUGAUAAAAUUACUGACCUCUACAUGCUUUGUAAGUAGGAAAACCUGCAAAAUCGUGAGUGUAUCAAAUACUUGUUCUCCCCACUGUAGUUCACAGGCAGCUGAUCGGAAUCCAACCUCCUGUAGAGUUGACGAGAACUCUACGAUCAGUAAAGGACAGAAAGUACUGGAAAGUGUCUGAGUGGCGGUCCUUUCUUUUGUUCUAAACUCUUCCAGUGUUGAAUGGUGUUUUUAAGAAAUACUGGAAUCAUCUUUUUCUAUUAGUUUUUGGUAUCUAAGUGCUCCUUCAGGAAAAUAUUAAACUAAAAGAUGUGGACUUCCAGAGAUUGUAUGGAACAGCAAACAGUAUUUUAAUAUACACUUGUUAAAAAACAUUCCAGAUUGCGUAAGAAACUGGGGCCCGCUUUGGGCAACCUCCACUUUUAAUUUGAGUCUUUCAAUGGGAAACUUCUUACGUACUUUAAUGGAACCACCAGUGUACCUGUCCAGAUAGUAAAAAAAAAAUUGAAGUGGAGAAGUUUACCAAAAAGGUCUGAAACCUCUAUGACAAAUGCAAAUGAGAAUGUUGUGAAGUUGUUCUAGUUUUUGGUAAGCCCUCUGUUCAGGUCAAUGUAUCUGUUCUGCAUGUGCUUGCAAUUGAACAACUAAUAGGUGUUAGGGUGAGUAAAUGCUGGUAUUACAAUAGAUUUAUCGUAAAUGGUGUAUUAUUUCACUCUGAAUCCAACAGGCUACAAAAAAGAAACAACUCAGUUGUGGAAUUAAGGGAUGGAAUGCUUUGCAAAAUCAAAAACCUGGUUACUUUCAAACCACAAUGUACACAUGGCAAUUCAACUACAUGUGCAUGCACACAAAAUGUGCUGUGUGUUGGUAAAAGAACCGGUAAAGUCAAAGAGAGAAAUGUGUGGAGACUCACAGUUAAAUAUAUCAUCCAGAUUUGUGCAGGACAUUUCAGAGACUGAUGGCAUAAUGGCAGUACAUUUAGAUUUUUUCAAUAGAAAGUGUGUUUUUGUUGAGUAAAAGGACAAAGCAUAUGUUAUUCCCCUGCCAAAUAACUUGGAGAGUGACUGAAUGGACCAGUCUAUAACCUGAAGUGGCCUAAAAAUGAGCAAGUACUGUAAAUAUUGCAAGUACUGUAAAUAUUGGUUGUGUGUCAUCUCACUGAAAGGAUAGUUUUUUUUUUGCAAAAACUCUUAUCCAGACCAACUUACAUUAAGUACAGGGACCUGCCCUGAAGCAACUUACAGUGACGUGCCUCACUAUUAAACAAGGGUGCUUUAUUUCAAUGAUGUUUUGUACUGGAAUGUAUUUUGUACAUUGUGUGUUGAUUUCACUAAAUAAUAUGUGAAGUUAAAUGUGUCUGGUGAAAUAUGUGUUUAAUCAUCAUGAUUAUGUUUGUUACCAGGUUUUCAAAUUAAAACACAAUCCUGUUGGG
ensembl:lncRNA